rnacentral:lncRNA from 1 species
GCUAAAAUAAUCAACAUGCGCGCACUAAUCCAUUUCUUUGAUUAAUCUAGACUCGGGUACAUAUUUGAAAGCCUCGAGUUCGUAGAUUAGAUUGUACUGCUGGCAAGGAGUUUCAAUUCCUUUAGAAUCAGCUAGCUGAGCUGCUUGUGCUGUUGCUCUGAAAUUGGAUGAAACCUUCAGAAUACACAGUAUACUUGUCGAUGCAAAAAAAUCCAGCCUCUUCUCAUCACCUGAAAGGAGGGGCAAGGAAUAGUUGAAUGAUUAAAACGACAAAAUGGUGCACUGAACAACAAAAUAGUGCAAUGAACAAAUAGCCAGAAGCUUUUCACUUUCAUCAAUUCGGACAGCAGCUAAAAAUGGUGGCCUCAAUCGAAUGACACAUUUACUGAAAAUCAGUUUUGCUGUUGAAAGAAUAUGCAACUUAACACUGAUUCAUCCCUUGUAAUGGAACUGGAAAAGAUGGUCCUCAAAGCCAAGUUGGCCCUUUCCAUAUCCAAACAUGUUCGGAUAUCUAUCUUCUCAAUUAUUUUUGAAAGCUGG